GACGAACGCUGGCGGCGUGCUUAACACAUGCAAGUCGAACGGAAAGGCCUCUUCGGAGGUACUCGAGUGGCGAACGGGUGAGUAACACGUGGGUGAUCUGCCCUGCACUCUGGGAUAGGCCUGGGAAACUGGGUCUAAUACCGGAUAGGACCAUGCUUUAGUGUGUGUGGUGGAAAGUCUUUUCGGUGUAGGAUGAGCCCGCGGCCUAUCAGCUUGUUGGUGGGGUCAUGGCCUACCAAGGCGGAGACGGGUAGCCGGACUGAGAGUUUGGUCGGCCACAUUGGGACUGAGAUACGGCCCAGACUCCUACGGGAGGCAGCAGUGGGGAAUAUUGCACAAUGGGCGCAAGCCUGAUGCAGCGACGCCGCGUGGGGGAUGACGGCCUUCGGGUUGUAAACUCCUUUCGCCAGGGACGAAGCGUUUUGUGACGGUACCUGGAGAAGAAGCACCGGCUAACUACGUGCCAGCCGCCGCAGUAA
rnacentral:rRNA from 1 species